GACGAGACAUCUAGUGUUCUAUGUAUCUAUGCGUCAGACAACCAAAUGUAAACAUUUUAAUAAGAUAGCGGUGGCGUCGGCCCACUUUGAAAGUGGUAUGCCCGAUGUAAACCCUGGUGAGAUAUGCGUGAAUCUCUUCCUAGUCAGAUUAUUAUUAUAUAUUUCAAUUUUUAGGUGGACCGGAAAUAUCAAAUAAAAUGCCGCAAAUAAAGAGCCAAACUUCAAAAUCUUCAACAACAUUUUGAGAAAGUCUAGCCGCUAGUAUAUAAUACUGUCAGAGAAGAAGAAUGUCAACAGUGGAAGUAACGAGCAGACCACAUUACGUCAGUGCUGUCUGGCUGGCGCCACGCGCUGGUGGUUGAGAGGCACGCAGGGCGCGAGCUAUAAAGGGAAAUAAAAAAUAAAAAACACUGUAAAGUGCUAGCGCUAAGGGGUCACGAACUAUGACCUUUAACAGGAGAAAACCAAAACAAACAUUUAAUAAAAAUGGGAGAAUUACUCAUCAGCGAGCCUAGUGACUCACAGAGCCCUUUACCUACGUCACCAUGAAGCUGCAUCCUCAUCAGAAAAUAGCACCUGAACCAGGGGCACAGAUUGUAACGGACCAGCAGGCUGGUCAGAAGAGCCAGAUACUCACAGCUAUGAACCCGUCCAGCGGCCCCAAGCAACAGUUCUUUCUGACCACAGCCGAUGGCUCUGGGGCAGGCAAGGUCAUCCUGGCCUCGCCAGACAGCAACCACAACAAGCAGCUCAUCUUUACUGCCGCAGACAACUUGAUGCCUGGCAGGAUACAGAUUGUUACUGAUGCCAUGUCCAUGGAGCGGUUGCUUGGGCAGGCAGGGGAUCUCAGUCGGCCUCAGCCAGUGGAAUACUGUGUGGUCUGCGGAGACAAGGCCUCAGGGCGUCACUAUGGUGCCGUCAGUUGUGAGGGCUGUAAAGGAUUCUUCAAGAGAAGCGUGAGGAAGAGCCUGGCCUACAGCUGCCGCAGCAAACAGGACUGCGUCAUCAAUAAGCACCACCGCAACCGCUGCCAGUUUUGUCGGCUUCGAAAGUGCCUUGAGAUGGGGAUGAAGACAGAGUCUGUGCAGAGUGAACGCAGACCCAUUGAUCUGGUCCCUAGAGAGAAGCACUCCAACUGUGCGGCCUCCACUCAAAAAAUCUAUGUCCGCAAGAACCUCAACAGUCCAAUCAUUGCCACGCCAACCUUCAUUUCCGACACAGAGACAGAAGGCUCCAGAUCUAGUCUUCUGGAGCAAGGAAUGCUAGUGAACAUCCAGCAGCCCUUCAUCCAGACAGAUGGGACAUUGCUACUGUCCACUGACUCUGAGCUGGAGUCUAGUCACGGGGACUUGGGGACGCUGGCCAACGUGGUGUCUUCGCUAGCCAACCUGAGCGACUCGCUGAAUGAGAACCUCAACGGGGGCGAUGAUGCCUCAGAGGGCUUCCAGCAGGAGCACUCCGCCAGUGAGAUAACACGUGCCUUUGACACCCUGGCCAAAGCCCUAAACCCACCAGAUGCAGGGCAGGGCCAGAGCCAGGAAGGUCAGGUGCAGUGUGCUGCCGGAGCCACCAUCCAGCUCAUCGGUCGGGACCAGGAGACCCCUCUCAUAGAGGUGGAGGGGCCACUGCUCACAGACACCCACGUUGGCUUUAAGCUGUCGAUGCCGUGCCCGAUGCCGGAAUAUCUUAAUGUACACUACAUCUGUGAGUCAGCAUCCCGCCUGCUCUUCCUGUCCAUGCAUUGGGCGCGCUCCAUCCCUGCUUUUUCAGCUCUGGGCCAGGAUAUGAACACAAGUUUGGUGCGAGCCAGCUGGAAUGAGCUGUUCACCCUGGGUAUGGCUCAGUGUGCCAAUGUGAUGAACCUGUCCACCAUCCUAGCUGCUAUCAUCAACCACCUUCAGGGAAGCAUUCAGGACGGUGUCUGGGGAGAGAGUGAAGGAGGUGAUGGAACACAUCUGGAAGUUGCAGGAGUUCUGUCACAGCAUGAUAAAGGUGGAGACGGACGACUUUGAAUACGCCUACCUGAAGGCCAUAGUGUUAUUCAGCCCAGACCACCCAGGCCUGGAGUGCAGCAUCCAGAUCGAGAAGUUCCAGGAGAAGGCCUUGAUGGAGCUUCAGGACUAUGUGCAGAAGACCUAUCCAGAGGACACGUACAGGUUGACCCGUAUCCUGAUGAGACUUCCAGCCCUACGCCUGAUGAACUCCAACAUCACAGAGGAGCUCUUCUUUACCGGACUCAUAGGGAAUGUCUCCAUAGACAGCAUCAUUCCAUACAUCCUGAAGAUGGAGACCACAGAGUACAACAGUCAGGACUCUGGCUCUUUGGAAUGAUAAGUAUUCCUCCACCCAGCUGAGACGUCUUUUCAGAGAUGGGUAAACUGAACUUAUGUACUACUCCUAAGGUUUCUGGUCGACUGUCGCCCUCAGUGUGCUAUCCUGUUGCAGUUCCUCUGCGCUCAAAGCCCUGGUACCACAGCGUAAGCCAGCGGGACCACUGGUAGGGGUCUGGGAUGUUUCAGAGUUCAGUGAUACUCCAGACUUGAUGGAAGAGACUGAAGUCUUUUCUUUACUUCAAACAAAUUCCUGAUUGACUUUAACUUUUGGCAUAAGCCUUUACAGGUUGUUUUACUCUUAUUCAAGCCAUAUUCUUCUCUAAUGCUGGACAUGAUUAUGGUUUUUAGGGUAGCUUCUGAAUCUAAUCUCUAAAAUGUGCAAUCGUUAAUCAUGGAGUCAAAUGAAUGGCAUAAGAAAGUCAUAAUGGUAAAAGACUAUAAAAAAAAAACUAUCAAGCUGAGUUUAAGCUCAUGUCGCAUAGAAAACAAGUUUAGCCAUGGGGAAAAUCUAAAGUCCCAACCACAGACUUCUAGAGAUCAUAGCAUCCAAGAAUGGAUCGGGUGUGAGAAUGUAUCAGCAGCCUAGGUGAAGGGGAUUUAUGUAAAUUAUAAUUGUGAUUAUAAUUCAUCACAUGACAAUGCAAUCUAUCUAUUAGGUGCAGUGUGUAGAAUCCAGUGGCAUCUAGCAGAAUGGAAUUGGCAGAAGUGGAAUAUAAUUUUCAUAAGUAGUUUAUAAUUAGUGUAUAAUCCCAUAAUCCACGGUGUACGGCUUGUUGCACUGACAUGAUUUUACAUUAGCCCAGAACAAACAGCACUACAGAGGACACUGUUUCAAUUACAAAUAGGAAUCCCUGUCUUACUUGUAAGAUAAGACCUAUAGUUGUACAGACUAAAUACUAACCUCAUCACUUGACCCUUGGCUACUGGAUGCUGUCCAGGUCAGAGUGGCUUUGAUUAUAUGGUUGAAAGGCGGGGGGAGGGGGCUGUAAUUCAGCAAUAUGCCAACUCACUACUAGAUGCCACAUCAUCCUACACACACACUGCACCGAUCAUGGCGUGGUAUUUUAAAUGUCAUACAACAGUAUACCUUGUUAGUUUACUUGUUUGUUCAAAAAUGUUAGACAUUUAAAUUUGGACAACAGUAAUAUUGUAACAUUCAAUUUAAGUUGCUUACUCAUUCACACUGGAAUAUUGUUUGCAAAGACCACUUCUAAAUCAGGUUAAAAGACAAACCUAUUUGAAUGUUUUCUUUGAGCAGCCACUAUCAAAUUAAAUAAAUGUAAUAAUCAACCUUACUUAAUUAACCUGUAGAAAUAGCAAAGAUUAAGAUGGUCCAAGUGAUAAUUCCAUAAUUUUUUUAUAGUUUGAAGUCAGAGAAAAAAAUGUAAUUAAUUAAGGGCCAAAUGUGUUUUAGCAUUCUGCGGCUAUUGCUGCUUCUCGAGUGGAAAAGACAAUUCAAGACUCCUUCUCAGCUGCUGUUGUCCUGGCUACGUUUGGUAUGUAUGGUUUCGGGUGCAAUCAAGAUGUGCCUUGAUUGGAGCUGUAGACGUGUAUUCACCUGGUGGAGUGGUGGUUGUGUCAGCCGCUCAGCUCUUUAGCAAUCAACAAUGUAUUAAUCCUUUAAGGGUUGGACACAAUUUUCUUUUAUUCGUCGCCUUUUUUUAUCCGUCUUUAGUUUUUUAAUGAAUUGUGUUGCACAUUUUUUUUCAAAUCAAAUUUGUUUUGACUUUUUAUUCAAAUUGUUACUAAGUUGCUCAUACUAAGUGUACUUAAAGUACUUUAUUGGAAUGUCUCAGAUUAGAAAAAGUAUUUUCUGGGGCGGAGCCCCAAAUCUAUCGGUGUGUUAAGCAUAUGUUGAAUUAUACUGUACGUACUACAGCAACUAAAAACAAUGGUUUGUUACUGCACUUAUGUAAACUAAUAUUUGUACAUGUAGUUUCAUUAAAAUGAGUGCAUGUUUUUUUUAAGUGAAGUUUUAUAUAUCUUGUCACUGUAUGGGCUAAAAGCAAAGAAGUUUUCCGAUAUUGCAGUGCAUGAAGGUGCUUAAGCUUUUUUUAAAGUUAUGUAUAAAAAUGUAGAUUUAAAUGUUGUUGCAUUAUCAUAAUUCAAGAUUCUAAAACAGAAAUAAUUCAUGUGAAUAGUGUCUUAUGUUUGUUUCUGUAAAUGCAUUUCCUCAAACUUGUGACUAACCAAUCAUUCAAACAAUCAUAUCUACUUCUUCGCCAUUUGCCCUUUUUUCUACCUCGUCAGAAAUAAAACUGCAAAAAAAUGUAAUACAGUGAUACAAGUUGGCAA